UACGGAGGGUGCGAGCGUUAUCCGGAUUUACUGGGUUUAAAGGGUGUGUAGGCGGGCUGUUAAGUCAGUGGUGAAAUCCCGGGGCUCAACCCCGGAACUGCCAAUGAUACUAUCAGUCUUGAAUACUGUGGAGGUGAGCGGAAUGUGUCAUGUAGCGGUGAAAUGCAUAGAGAUGACACAGAACACCGAUUGCGAAGGCAGCUCACUACGCAGUUAUUGACGCUGAGGCACGAAAGCGUGGGGAUCAAACAGG
rnacentral:rRNA from 1 species